UACGAAGGGGGCGAGCGUUGUUCGGAUUUACUGGGCGUAAAGGGCGCGCAGGCGGCAGACCAAGUCAGGCGUGAAAGCCCCCGGGCUUAACCUGGGAGGUGCGUCUGGGACUGGUAUGCUAGAGUUCGGGAGAGGAGAGUGGAAUUCCCAGUGUAGAGGUGAAAUUCGUAGAUAUUGGGAAGAACACCGGUGGCGAAGGCGGCUCUCUGGACCGAGACUGACGCUGAGGCGCGAAAGCGUGGGGAGCAAACAGG
rnacentral:rRNA from 1 species